AUUGAACGCUGGCGGCAGGCUUAACACAUGCAAGUCGAACGGAACCUUCGGGUUUAGUGGCGAACGGGUGAGUAAUACCUAGGAAUCUGCCUAUUAGUGGGGGAUAACGGCUCGAAAGGGUCGCUAAUACCGCAUACGACCUACGGGAGAAAGAGGGGGAUCUUCGGACCUCUUGCUAAUAGAUGAGCCUAGGCCGGAUUAGCUAGUUGGUAGGGUAAAGGCCUACCAAGGCGACGAUCCGUAGCUGGUCUGAGAGGAUGAUCAGCCACACUGGAACUGAGACACGGUCCAGACUCCUACGGGAGGCAGCAGGUGGGGAAUAUUGGACAAUGGGGGCAACCCUGAUCCAGCCAUGCCGCGUGUGUGAAGAAGGCCUUCGGGUUGUAAAGCUCUUUUGUCCGGAAAGAAAAGCGCCGGGUUAAUACCCUGGUGUCCUGACGGUACCGGAAGAAUAAGCACCGGCUAACUUCGUGCCAGCAGCCGCGGUAAUGUAGUCG
rnacentral:rRNA from 1 species